CGCCAGAUAAAGGCUGAGUGUCACCUGCAGGACGAGGGAGGGCACAGAGAAGAUCAUGGCCUCGUUGAAAAUGGGGUUGGUGUCGUCCCGCUUGGUGGACGUCUUCUUCUUGCUUAUCUUGCGGCCGUCUUGCAGCAGUGUUCUUGUCGUCGGUCCACUGCAGGUUCUUACACUUGGCCACCACCACCGUGAGGCGCUCUGCUGUAGGCAAGUAGCUGAGAGACAAGAGGAUUUCCCCGACCGCAUCCACGGCCUGCAGAAGACAUUCUUGUGAGCGUUCUUACGAGGGGACAAGAUGAGACCUCAGCAGUGCGACGGACUUUAUUGACAUCCUGGAGGUAGAGCCAGGCGUUGAACGGUCUGACGGUCAGGUCUAGGUCUGACAGCUUGAGUUCUGCCACCCCCGCACUGAUGUUCCUCUCCUCGCUGUCGAUGCCAAAGGCGGCGAAUCUGAGGCUGCAUUCUUCCAGGGCGCAGACGUCCGCCGCCACCGAGAAGCGCUCGUCAAAGACGACAGUGAAGGCGUUUGUCUGCACCUGUUGGAAGCAGCAGGACGCCAGCAAGGAGACAAAACAGAAUGCUUGAUUUGUGUCAGUAUGGGGGACUAAACACAUAUAAAAACACCAUAAAAUACCCAAGUAGUGUAACUAUACUGCAAUAUGUAAUACAUACUAUCAUGUGCUACAAGAAGACAGCAAGUUGGUGUUUCACAACACCGCCCUCGGAUGCUAAGGCGUGAUGUGGGGGAAAAGUGAUGCGGGUUGCCAGGCAACGUGCAGGGGAAGGGCUGAGGAUGUAAUUGCAGCAUUUGAGCUCAUGGGUGCAAAAGCCAAUAUUUAUAUCGUAUGUGAGUCCAAGUACAACAUUUAAGGAGGGGUGUGUGUGUUUGUGAGAAAUGAGAGUCUAAAUGAGA